rnacentral:rRNA from 1 species
ACGAACGCUGGCGGCGUGCUUAACACAUGCAAGUCGAACGGUGAAGCUCCAGCUUGCUGGAGUGGAUCAGUGGCGAACGGGUGAGUAACACGUGAGCAACCUGCCCCAAACUCUGGAAUAAGCGCUGGAAACGGCGUCUAAUACUGGAUACGAGACCAACCUGCAUGGGUAUGGUUUGGAAAGUUUUUCGGUUUGGGAUGGGCUCGCGGCCUAUCAGCUUGUUGGUGAGGUAAUGGCUCACCAAGGCGACGACGGGUAGCCGGCCUGAGAGGGCGACCGGCCACACUGGGACUGAGACACGGCCCAGACUCCUACGGGAGGCAGCAGUGGGGAAUAUUGCACAAUGGGCGAAAGCCUGAUGCAGCGACGCCGCGUGAGGGAUGACGGCCUUCGGGUUGUAAACCUCUUUCAGCAGGGAAGAAGCGAAAGUGACGGUACCUGCAGAAGAAGCACCGGCUAACUACGU